rnacentral:tRNA from 1 species
GGUUGUGGCUCAGUGGUAGAGCGCUUGCCUAGCAUGUGUGAGGCACUGGGUUCAAUCCCUGGCACCA